AAGACUAUACUUUCAGGGAUCAUUUCUAUAGUCAGUGACUUGAGAAAUGUGUUUCUAACAUGUGUGGUCUCGCUCACCACGAUGAAGAGGCGCUGAUACUCUCUCCUGAGCGCGAAGCGGGCGGAGAGACUUGAUUCACUUCAAACGCUCUCUGCCUUUGAUGACCGUUCACUGUCUCCUCUGGGGACGAUGAGGGGGAGAGUAUGAUCAGAGUGGU
rnacentral:snoRNA from 1 species